AUUGAACGCUGGCGGCAGGCCUAACACAUGCAAGUCGAGCGGAUGGAGAGAGCUUGCUCUCUGAUUUAGCGGCGGACGGGUGAGUAAUGCCUAGGAAUCUGCCUGGUAGUGGGGGAUAACGUCCGGAAACGGGCGCUAAUACCGCAUACGUCCUACGGGAGAAAGCAGGGGACCUUCGGGCCUUGCGCUAUCAGAUGAGCCUAGGUCGGAUUAGCUAGUUGGUGAGGUAAUGGCUAACCAAGGCGACGAUCCGUAACUGGUCUGAGAGGAUGAUCAGUCACACUGGAGCUGAGACACGGGCCAGACUCCUACGGGAGGCAGCAGUGGUGAAUAUUGGACAAUGGGCGAAAGCCUGAUCCAGCCAGGCCGCGUGUGUGAAGAAGGUCUUCUGAUUGUAAAGCACUUUAAGUUGGGAGGAAGGGCAGUAAGUUAAUACCUUGCUGUUUUGACGUUACCGACAGAAUAAGCACCGGCUAACUUCGUGCCAGCAGCCGCCGCCGUAA
rnacentral:rRNA from 1 species